UACGUAGGGUGCGAGCGUUGUCCGGAUUUAUUGGGCGUAAAGAGCUCGUAGGCGGUUUGUCGCGUCGGCCGUGAAAUCUCCACGCUUAACGUGGAGCGUGCGGUCGAUACGGGCAGACUUGAGUUCGGUAGGGGAGACUGGAAUUCCUGGUGUAGCGGUGGAAUGCGCAGAUAUCAGGAGGAACACCGGUGGCGAAGGCGGGUCUCUGGGCCGUAACUGACGCUGAGGAGCGAAAGCAUGGGGAGCGAACAGG
rnacentral:rRNA from 1 species